UACUAUUCCUCUAAUCGUGCCUUCUCUGCCCAUAUAUGAAUCCCUAGCCUGCUCCACCCAGCUACAUAGCAGAGAAUGAGGUGAAUAUAUACAGGCAUACCUCAGAGAUAUUGCAGGUUCAGUUCCAGACCACUGCAGCAAAGUCUGACCCCACCACAUGUCUACCAGUCUCUCAGAUGGCGGAGUGACCAGCAUGCUUUGGAAAGUGGAAAACCCAUACAUCUCACUUAAAUGGGACAAGGGUGCCCAAAUAUACACACAAACUUAACACUAUCGUGGAGAGGAGGGAAGGUUAGAAGGGGAAGAAAGACAAAACUCCUCUAUUACAGAGGGCACAAAAAAUUGCAAUUCUUCGCUGAGUAAUUUGUGAUUUAAACAGACAAGGUCAUAUAUGACAUCUAUUUAAAUUGAAUAGCUUUUUCACUUUCAGUCUUCCACUUGUUCAAGCUUUCCUCUUUUAUUUAUGUGGUAAGUGAGGGAAAUUUAAGUGGCAUUUAUUUUUAAAUAACUUAAGAACAAACCAAUCCUCCAAUAUCCAGAUGGGUAUGAAACUGAGCUACAGCUUACAGGGUAGUUGGUGGGGUAGGAGUAGAAAAAAAAGAAGACAAGUUUCAUGAGUCCUAUUACUACUAACAACAAAAACAAAGGAAUAAGAAAGCACCCGAAAACAUGAAGUUAAAAGGCAGCAUAAGAGUCAGAGAAAGCAAUGAGGAUCUUCUAGAUACUACACUGGGAGGCGCUGUCCAGUUCUGACAGAGGUGCCCUUUAACCUCAAAAACCUCCUAAGAGUCACUUUACCUCACUGCCAGUGAGAAACUGGAGCAACAUGAACUUGCACGAGCCAAAAGAGAGCACAUAUCUCCAAGAUUGAAUUCAGCUUCUGGAAGGCCCUGGAGUGUGCGCCCUUACAUGGGCAUAUUUGGCCCUCACAUAUCUCCAAAACAGAUCCCUACAGAUUCUGAAGUGGAUGCCCUGGAAAAAUUCAUAUUCAAUGUCUGAAAAAGAGUAAGCUGGAAAACACACAUAAGCUGACGUCCUUCAGCAAAUAACACGCACAUGUUCUUGAACCCUCAGAGCUAUACAGCUCCACUCAGGGA